AUAUCUCCGUUAAGGAAAAAGCAGGGGACUUUUUAAGCCUUGCGCUUUCAGAGGAGCUUACGUCGGAUUAACUAGUUGGUAGGGUAAAGGCCUACCAAGGUUACGAUCCGUAGCUGGUCUGAGAGGAUGAUCAGCCACACUGGGAUUGAGAUACGGCCCAGACUCCUACGGGAGGCAGCAGUGGGGAAUAUUGGACAAUGGGCGAAAGCCUGAUCCAGCAAUGCCGCGUGUGUGAAGAAGGCCUUAGGGUUGUAAAGCACUUUCAGCAAUGAAGAAGUUAUAUUAGCUAAAUAUCUAAUAUGAUUGACGUUAGUUGCAGAAGAAGUACUGGCUAACCUCUGUGCCAGCAGCCCGCGGGUAAAUACAGAGAGUGCAAAGCCGUUAAUCGGAAUUAUUGGGGCCGUAAAAGGGUGGUGUAAGGUUGGUUAAAAAAAAGUUAAGAAUGGGGA
rnacentral:rRNA from 1 species